rnacentral:lncRNA from 1 species
AGUUGAAGCAUAUGUCCUGCGAGCUUAGGGGUGCUACAAGUUGACCACUGCAGCAGUAAAGAUGAUUCUGAAGAAUGGCAUGGGAUGGAUCCUUUCGAAUGCACUUGAGCAGCGGUCUCCAACCACAGGGCCACAGAGCUGGAGCUGGAUCUACCAUGAAAGACCUCUGAAUCCAGGAAGAGAGACUGACUGGGCAACAUGUUAUUCAGGGUCUCCCUCUGUUGUCCAAGGCUGGAGUGUAGUAGUGCUAUCGCAGCUGACUGCAGCCUCAACCUUCCAGGCUGAAGCGAUCCUCCUACCUCAACCUCCCACGUGGCUGAGACUACAGGUGCUUGACACUAUGCCCAACUAAUAUUUGGAAUUUUCGUAUACGUGGAUUCCAGAGGGGUGACAGCGUAACGUGGGACCAUCCAGUUUCAGGAAAACAAGCUUAACACGCCCACUGAUUCGACAUUAUGCUCCUACCUCCCGGCAGCCUCUCCAGGCCCAGAACUUUCUCCAGUCAGCCUCUACAGACCAAGCUCAUGACUCACAAUGGCCUAUUUAGGCCCAUACCCUACGUCACGGCAGUCUCCGCAGAUGAGGCUACUGCCUCACAACAGCCUCCACAGGCACAGCUCCAUCG